rnacentral:rRNA from 1 species
GUACACUCCUACGGGAGGCAGCAGUGGGGAAUUUUGGACAAUGGGCGAAAGCCUGAUCCAGCAAUGCCGCGUGAGUGAAGAAGGCCUUCGGGUUGUAAAGCUCUUUUGUCAGGGAAGAAACGGUGAAAGCUAAUAUCUUUUGCUAAUGACGGUACCUGAAGAAUAAGCACCGGCUAACUACGUGCCAGCAGCCGCGGUAAUACGUAGGGUGCAAGCGUUAAUCGGAAUUACUGGGCGUAAAGCGUGCGCAGGCGGUUUUGUAAGUCUGAUGUGAAAUCCCCGGGCUCAACCGGGGAAUUGCAUUGGAGACUGCAAGGCUAGAAUCUGAGAGAGGGGGGUAGAAUUCCACGUGGAGCAGUGAAAUGCGUAGAUAUGUGGAGGAACACCGAUGGCGAAGGCAGCCCCCUGGGUCAAGAUUGACGCUCAUGCACGAAAGCGUGGGGAGCAAACAGGAUUAGAUACCCGGGUAGUCCCA